ensembl:lncRNA
UUAUUGAUCAGAUGUGUAUGUAUUCAGUCGUUCAGCUGAAUGUGUUGUCUCUCUCGUGUUCAGAUCAGUGGUGGUGGAUUUCUGUCCUUAUUCUCAUUGUUCUUCUGGUUUUGAUCUGUUUCUUGCUGCGGAGAAGGAUCUUCAGGUGUUUUCAGAAGGAAGAGCAGUCCAACGGUCAGCGUGAAGCUCCAGACAACAGGGAUCUGGAAACGGUCUGAUCUGAUGAUCCUCACACACUGCAGGAAUCGUUCCUGGGAAUCAGUUUUCAGAUCCUGAUCACCAUCUGAUGGUUUGAAUCAGUUUCACGGUCAUUUUAUUCUCUGUUCAGACAGAGAAGACAGAGAAGCAGUGAUGUUAUGCUGCGUGUGGCUUUAUUUAAAGACAGUAACUCUGUAGUUGCUGAUGCAGUGAUAGUUACAUUAACUCUUAUGAGCUGAUGUUUAACCUCAAUGAGAAGGAUGCAGCUGUUGGAAGAAGACUCCGCCCCUCACACCCCGGACCGAAGAAGACUCCGCCUCAUACCUGGACCCUUCCUUCCUGAACACUGCCCCACCAUGAACACCAGAAGGACACCAGAUUCUCUUUAUUAUUGACACUCUUCCCCGUUGGACACUUAUUCGCUCUUUUGGUUGAUUUUCUGUUAAUAAAAGCCUCUCGAGCCCUGAUGCCUUCCCCAAUGUGUCUGUCGUUUGCUCCUGUUUGGCACCUUGUGCUGCCAUGCUUUUGACAGGGUUUUUUAUGUCCAUUUUUUUGUUAUACACAUAAUAUGAGAAAAAUAAAUUCUAUAUUUUGUCUGCCAUAAUCUAUGCAUAAAGAUUUUAGUUGCCAUGAAACAGGAGCUGGAGAUUUGCAUAGCAUUCAGUUCCACCGCUCCCUGCACGCAGAGUAUGCAGUUUGCGUAGGGCACCAACUCCUGGGGGGCACCACCUUGCUCAAAAAAAAUUAAAUAAUUGGGGGCAGUGCCACCCCUGACCCCACAUGGACACGCCCCUGUUGCCCGUCUCUCAAGUAUUAUAUAAACACAUAAGCAUAAUUUUAUUUAUACAGCUGUUACACUAUGCACAAAUCUAUUGAUAAAUCUUAUGUUAUAGAUUUUACUUAAUUUAUUUCUAGCUUGCAGCAUUACUUACAGACUUUAAUGAGCUAUUUUUUUUGGUUUCUUUUUCUCAUUCAGAAAUGGUUUUUAAUGUUGUUUAUUCACUAGAUGCUGUUUUAUAACAAAGUUCGGGAGGAGCAGUUCACCUGAUUAACACAAGUGGAGACCAAUCAGUAAUCAACUCAUGACAAGGUAUAAAUAACAGCAGAACCUACCUCUGUUCAUUGACAGGUUUCAGCAUCCCGGUUCGCUCUGUCUAUCAUCUUAUCACAGACCCAAUUUUCCUUCCAGCAAGGAGAUCCAUACCGGGGAUUUUUCAGAUCUGCUAUUUUUGCUGACAUCUAUGAUCAUUAAACACGGCCAUUGAGCACCAUCAAACGUCAUCUCAACAGCUGCUCUUCUUGCCAAGCCACACGUCGUGGCCAAUAGACCGUGCAAAGCCCGAGCUCGCCUCUCUUGACACCACGAUUGAUCCGAUGAAGACCGGGCUCUCUUUGAGCGCUGGAAUCGCAGCACCAGCAGGCAUUCAACCAGCCCGCUCCUCAGUUCUUACUGCAGCAGAAA